AUGGACAGCAAAAAAAUGGAUGGCGAAAAAAUUGUUAUUAAUAACGUGUCUAGUUUAAAAAAACUGAGUAGUAACAAUAAAUAUGAUGAAUAUAAAAAUGCAUAUUUAAAAAUAUUAAGAUCAAUUAUUUAUUUUAUAAAUAAAAAAAAAAUAAUAAAUUAUGAAAAUACGAAUGUUUUAAUACUUAUUCUUUAUUAUUAUGUAAAAAUGAAUUUAAUACCUAUACAAAUAUUUUAUAAAUUAAACUAUAAAAUAAAAAAAAACAUCAAAAAAAUAAAAGUAGACACAAAAUAUAUAUCUUUAUAUGUAUAUAUAUUAAGUCGUAUUAAAUUUGAUAUAAGUUAUUAUAAAUAUGUAUAUAAACAUUUAAAUAAUAUUUUUAAAAAUAGAAUAAAAAAUUUUGACGUACUAUCAGUGUCAUUAUCUUUUUAUUCGCUUUCCAAAAAUUUGUAUUAUGACCCAGACUUUGUACAAACAUGUAUAGAACUAUUUAAAAUGUAUGGUGAAAACUUAAACGAUGUUAACAUAACAAAUAUCAUUUAUACAACAGGAAAAUUAAAAAUAAGAGAUGACGAACUGUUUAACAAACUAUGUUAUAUUUUAACAAAAAGAAUAGGGAAUAUGUCUGCUUUAAAUUUAAGCUUAAUUGUUCAUAAUUUGUCAAAGGUGCAGUAUAAAAAUAAUGAUUUUUACAAUUUAUGUCUUAAAAAGGGACAAGAAUUAUUAACUAGCUUCACAGCUAAACAGUUAAUAAUAUUUUUACAAGGAUUAAUAAUUAAUAAUAUUUAUGAUUAUAAUUUUAUUGAACAAUUGUUUCAUCAACUUAUAUACAUAGAUAAUAAAGACAAAAGCAAUAGUAACAGUAAUAGUAACAGUAAUAGGGACAAUAAUAAAUAUAAAACUAUAUUAAGUAGUAUAUGCUUUAGUAUAGCCUUGGAAAGACAAGAUUAUAUUAAACUACUUCCUUUAUCAAUACGAACUUAUAUAUCAAAAAAUUUAAAUUUUUGUCAAAAUAAAAAAUAUAAUUUUAUACAUGAUGAACUUACAAAUAUAUUAAACUUUUUAAAUGUAGAACAUUAUGAAAUAUUAAAAGAAAAAAAGCCCUAUGCAUUCGAUUUAUUUAUAAAAGAUAAUUCUAAUAUUUUUUUUGUAGAUAUCGUAUCAAAAAAAAAAAAAUCCUGACCACAUGUUCUGGUAAUAACAACAUAAAUUUAUUAAAUGGAUUUAUGGCCUUAAAAAAAAGACAUAUGGACAAAUUAAAUGUGAAAUAUUAUUACAUAGAUAAGGAUUCCUAUUUAGCUUUAGAAUCAAUAGAUAAAAAAAUUAAUUUUAUAAAAACGUUUUUAGAAAAAACUUGUUUUUAUAAUUUAAAAUGCACUAAACAACAUGAAACAAGUAGUGAGAAAGUAAAAAAACAAAUAAAAAAUAUGAUCAUAUUCA
rnacentral:lncRNA from 1 species